rfam:Beta vulgaris subsp. vulgaris Bvchr4.sca003.con0048.1, whole genome shotgun sequence.
AAUGGCAAUUACAAUGGGAAGCAAGGCUGUAAGGCGGAGCGAAUCCGGAAAGAUUGCCUCAGUUCGGAUUGUUCUCUGCAACUCGAGAACAUGAAG